UACGUAGGUGGCAAGCGUUGUCCGGAAUCAUUGGGCGUAAAGCGCGCGUAGGCGGUUUGCCAGGUCUGAUGUGAAAUCUUGGGGCUCAACUCCAAGCGUGCAUCGGAAACCGGCUUGCUAGAGUCUGGAAGAGGAGAGUGGAAUUCCUGGUGUAGCGGUGAAAUGCGUAGAUAUCAGGAGGAACACCAGUUGCGAAGGCGGCUCUCUGGGACAGUACUGACGCUGAGGCGCGAAAGCUAGGGGAGCGAAC
rnacentral:rRNA from 1 species